CCUACGGGUGGCAGCAGUAGGGAAUCUUCCACAAUGGGCGAAAGCCUGAUGGAGCAACGCCGCGUGGGCGAAGAAGGUCUUCGGAUCGUAAAACCCUGUUGUUAGAGAAGAAAGUGCGUGAGAGUAACUGUUCACGUUUUGACGGUAUCUAACCAGAAAGCGAUGGCUAACUACGUGCCAGCAGCCGCGGUAAUACGUAGGUGGCAAGCGUUAUCCGGAUUUAUUGGGCGUAAAGGGGACGCAGGCGGUCUUUUAAGUCUGAUGUGAAAGCCUUCGGCUUAACCGGAGUAGUGCAUUGGAAACUAGCAGACUAGAGUGCGGAAGAGGUGAGUGGAACUCCAUGUGAAGCGGUGAAAUGCGUAGAUAUAUGGAAGAACACCAGUGGCGAAGGCGGCUCACUGGUCUGUAACUGACGCUGAGGUUCGAAAGCGUGGGUAGCAAACAGGAUUAGAUACCCUUGUAGUC
rnacentral:rRNA from 1 species